rnacentral:rRNA from 1 species
CUGUCCAAAACAGAACGACCCGCGAACAUGUAAUUACAAUCACCUGAUGAGGAAACGGGCUAUGGCCUUGAUCCUUGGUCCCUUGUCGGCGUGCGUUUGUGCCGCUCCGAAUGGAACGCCAUAGAUGUUUUGUUGACAAGUUAACCAACCCCGGCACGGAAUGUGCCAAGGAAAAAGAAAACAAAAGAAGGUUGUCCCGGUUUUUGCCCCGUUCGCGGUGUGCAUGCUGGUUGUGACUCUUUGAAACAUAAACGACUCUCGGCAACGGAUAUCUCGGCUCACGCAUCGAUGAAGAACGUAGCAAAAUGCGAUACUUGGUGUGAAUUGCAGAAUCCCGUGAACCAUCGAGUUUUUGAACGCAAGUUGCGCCCGAAGCCAUCCGGCCGAGGGCACGCCUGCCUGGGCGUCACACAUCGCGUCGCUCCCCCAUGUAUAUCAGAUUUGGGAUGCAUGGUGUCGGGGCGGAGAUUGGUCUCCUGUGCAACUGCUGCGGUGGCCCAAACAUGAAUCACCUUCGGUUGACGCACGGCUAGUGGUGGUUGAAUAAGCCCUCGUCUUUUGUCGUGCGUCGUUUGCUGCAAGGAAAGCUCUUGUAUAAAGACCUAAUGCGUUGUCUUGUGAUGACGCUUCGACCGCGACCCAGGUCAGGCGGGACUACCCGUUGAGUUUAAGCAUAU